rnacentral:tRNA from 1 species
UUUCAAUGGUAUCUUAGGCUACUAUUUCGGCUUCUUACUCCAAGUAUCUGGUUAGGGGUAUCUAACCAGAUA